AGUGAACGCUGGCGGUAGGCCUAACACAUGCAAGUCGAACGGCAGCACAGUAAGAGCUUGCUCUUACGGGUGGCGAGUGGCGGACGGGUGAGGAAUACAUCGGAAUCUACUUUUUCGUGGGGGAUAACGUAGGGAAACUUACGCUAAUACCGCAUACGACCUACGGGUGAAAGCAGGGGAUCUUCGGACCUUGCGCGAUUGAAUGAGCCGAUGUCGGAUUAGCUAGUUGGCGGGGUAAAGGCCCACCAAGGCGACGAUCCGUAGCUGGUCUGAGAGGAUGAUCAGCGACACUGGAACUGAGACACGGUCCAGACUCCUACGGGAGGCAGCAGUGGAGAAUAUUGGACAAUGGGCGCAAGCCUGAUCCAGCCAUACCGCGUGGGUGAAGAAGGCCUUCGGGUUGUAAAGCCCUUUUGUUGGGAAAGAAAAGCAGCAGGUUAAUACCCCGCUGUUCUGACGGUACCCAAAGAAUAAGCACCGGCUAACUUCGUG
rnacentral:rRNA from 1 species